rnacentral:rRNA from 1 species
GAUGAACGCUGGCGGCGUGCCUAACACAUGCAAGUCGAGCGACAGGACGAGAAGCUUGUUUCCUUGAUGUUAGCGGCGGACGGGCGAGUAACACGUAGAUAACCAACCUCUUAGUCUGGGAUAACAUCGGGAAACCGGUUCUACUACUGCAUCAUACUUUCAACCGCAUGGAUCAAAAGUGCUUGACGCUUUUCCUGUUUCUUUUAGAUGAUUCCGCGUUGCAUUAGCUAGUUGGUAAGGUAACGGCAUACCAAGGCGACGAUGCAUAGCCGACCUGAGAGGAUGAUCAGCCACACUGGAACUGAGACACGGUCCAGACUCCUACGGGAGGCAGCAGUAGGGAAUAUUGGACAAUGGGCGAAAGCCUGAUCGAGCAAUGCCGCGUGAGUGAAGAAGGUCUUCGGGUCGUAAAGCUCUGUUGUUGGGAAAGAACAGAUGUGGGAUAAACUGUGCAUGUCUUGACGGUACCUAAACAAAAAGCCACGGCUAACUUCGUG